AUAAACAUUCACUCAAAGAGAAUAAAAUGGGGAGUUUCUUUUUGCUGAUAAUAUUCGGAUUAUACUUAGACUUAGGAUCUUUACAAGAGCCAAGCAAAUCCUGCGAUGCUAGAGAUUUCUGCCAGUACAAAUGUCAGUGCAGUAAAAAUUGCAAAGAUGACUUCAAAUGUUCUGAAAAUGAUAAAUGUAAAAGUGGAUGGUUUGGGUACAGAUGUCAAUAUCAAGAUUGGGCUGUGUCCGGAGCAACAGUUUUUACCGAGCCGUCUGGGCGGAGAACUGA
rnacentral:sRNA from 1 species